rnacentral:tRNA from 1 species
CGGCGGCGAUUCGGCGGGCGGCGGCCUGGCGCUGGCGCUGCUGGUGGCGCUGCGCGAUCGCGGCGCGCCGCUGCCGGCC